CAGGCCUAACACAUGCAAGUCGAGCGGUAACAGAUCCAGCUUGCUGGAUGCUGACGAGCGGCGGACGGGUGAGUAACGCAUAGGAAUUUACCCGAUAGUGGGGGAUAACCUGGGGAAACUCAGGCUAAUACCGCAUACGUCCUACGGGAGAAAGGGGGCUUUGGCUCCCGCUAUCGGAUGAGCCUAUGCCGGAUUAGCUGGUUGGUGAGGUAAUGGCUCACCAAGGCGACGAUCCGUAGCUGGUCUGAGAGGAUGAUCAGCCACAUCGGGACUGAGACACGGCCCGAACUCCUACGGGAGGCAGCAGUGGGGAAUAUUGGACAAUGGGGGCAACCCUGAUCCAGCCAUGCCGCGUGUGUGAAGAAGGCCCUCGGGUUGUAAAGCACCUUCAGCGAGGAAGAACGCCUGGCGGUUAAUACCCGCCAGGAAAGACAUCACUCGCAGAAGAAGCACCGGCUAACUCCGUGCCAGCAGCCGCGGUAAUACGGAGGGUACAAGCGUUAAUCGGAAUUACUGGGCGUAAAGCGCGCGUAGGUGGCUUGAUAAGCCGGUUGUGAAAGCCCCGGGCUCAACCUGGGAACGGCAUCCGGAACUGUCAGGCUAGAGUGCAGGAGAGGAAGGUAGAAUUCCCGGUGUAGCGGUGAAAUGCGUAGAGAUCGGGAGGAAUACCAGUGGCGAAGGCGGCCUUCUGGACUGACACUGACACUGAGGUGCGAAAGCGUGGGUAGCAAACAGGAUUAGAUACCCUGGUAGUCCACGCCGUAAACGAUGUCGACCAGCCGUUGGGUGCCUAGCGCACUUUGUGGCGAAGUUAACGCGAUAAGUCGACCGCCUGGGGAGUCGGCCGCAAGGUUAAAAC
rnacentral:rRNA from 1 species